ACGUGGGGUAUACAUUGUGGGGACAUGCAGAAGGCUCUCCUCCCUGCUCCAGGGGGUUCUUGGGGAGCAAGUCACUCACCCUCGGUGGAUGUUAGCUGGCCUCUUUCCUGGCUUCCUCUACUGCAGCAGCUGGUGUGCACUGAAGUAAAAUUCCUUUGUUUCCCGCUUCUCUGGGUCCUCCGGAAAUGGCUGCCUCCUUUCUAGGCAGCAGAGCAGCUCUAGCUCUGGCCUUUGAUGAACCUUGGUCCCUUCAGUUUAGCAACUGAGGCCACAGGCCAACCAUACACCAACCCAGACAGAAGAUCAGCAGGAACAUAAGUACUGACUCACUUCUGAAGGGAGAGCGAGAAAAAAAAAACUGAGACUUCCAUGCAGAUGGUAGGCCAGCUGCCCCAAUUGCAGGACAGCAGCAAGGUAUCCUGGGAGAAGAGGCAAGAGUAUGAAGAUUCUUCCGAGACACAGGUACACAAGGAAGGGCUAGGCCAAGGAUGAAUCAGGAAACCUCUUUGUUACAAUCAUGACUGCCCUAACCACCAUGCAGCCUGGGAGAAUUUGAACCCCAUACUUAAUUGAAGUUAGCCAACUCAGCUUCACCUCCCUGCCCCAUGAAUGAUUUAGGAGAAGAUGUAUACAUGCACCUUGUCAUAAAUUGCUCUCAACUUUA